GCGGGCGUGGUUCAGUGGUAGAACAUCAGCCUUCCAAGCUGAGGACGUGAGUUCGAUUCUCAUCGCCCGCUCCA
rnacentral:tRNA from 1 species